GCGCCCGUAGCUCAGUCGGUAGAGCGGUGGAACGUUGAUCCACAAUCCUGGGUUUCAAGUCCCGGCGGUCGCU